GUGAAAACAAUCAUGGCCGCCAUACUGAAGGGUUGUUCCAAACCGAAGUGCUCUAAACUGGUCACUUCAAAGGGCUCUUCGGAAUGAAGGAUUUCGAAGGGUACAACUGAUGGACACUUUGGGCCCCCAUGAUCCUUUGCACAGGGAAGUUGUUUGGCAUCACAGAGUUCGACUUCGCCAAUAAAUCUUAACUGACACAGAAUGGAACGCACAGGAUUGUGGGAUAUCAAAGGCAGCGAAGGAUACAUCUAUGCUGCCUUCAAAAUUCGACCAGAUGAAGGCAUCUCAUGAGACAGGAACUAAAGCUAACACUGAAUUCGGACGUGCCUUGAUGCCUUCCUACCAUAGACAGUAAAAGAAAUGGACACAGCGACCCCAUUGCAACUCAAUUGAGACAAGUGAAGCCCAUUUUUAGCAAUUUUUAGAACUUCCGUUUCUGACGCGCAGACUCAAACUAAGCUUGAUGACGUCAGCAACCUGUCUGACAGAUGUAAAUCUUCUAGUAGCUGUGCGUGAAAACUGCCAUCGUUAAUCUUGCAGAGACGGCGAGCUUGAGCGGGGAGUUCUUUGGCGUGAGUGAGCAGGAGCUUGGCUUAGGCUUGGCUCCCUCCAUGUGGGCUCCUGUGAUGAUAUUAUUAUCAGUCAUGCAUCGAAGAUGAAGGCGAUGUCGCCAUGGGGACAAUCUGAGAGUGACAGUCUAUUCCAAGUUCCAUUAUGCUGCCCCUCAAGAGGCCUCUAUGAGCGAAUAUGAUCUUUAUUAUCUCAAGAAUCAUUUUAAAUGUGUCACCAGUGACUAAAUGUGGAAUGUAAAAGCUUCUGCGAAGCACUUUCAUGGCAGACACUCGAUAAAGAGACGACGAACCAUUAUAAAACAUCGCCAGAAACAAUGGACAUGAAUUGUGGACAUGAACUGGGACACAGUACGGAGGUUAAUUGAGGUAAUUUUUUGUCUCUGGAAAUAAGUUUUUUGUUUGUUUGUUUGUUUGUUUGUUUUUGAAGAGAUAUAUUAAAGUUAAAAUUAGACUUGGGGUAGAAAAUAUAUAUUAUAAAUAAUUUUACAUUUUGUAGCACACUAUGCCAGCUAAAAUAACAAAGGAUUAUAUUUAUUUCCCUUAAUUAACAAAUUGGCUGGUGCGUCAUCAUCUGGCGGCUGUCUAUUGAAAAUAUUUUCUGGCAAUUUAAUGUGGCCUUUUCCUUUUCAAGACACAAGAUGGC
ensembl:lncRNA